AAGAGUUUUUGAAUCAUAAUCUUGUGUUUCCAUUGGCAUAUUAAGACCACUAACAUUUGUAAACUUCAAUGGCCAAAGGAUUCAACACUCAGCACCUUAAUUUUCUUGCUUCCUCUCAGGUUUCCUCAGCCUUUGGAGGUGGACUCACAAAUAUUUCUAAUUGCCAUAUACCUGGCUUUCUGCUCGAAGAGUGAUCCAAAGGCUUGGAAGAAACUUCAGGGAGAAAAGAAUGCAUGUUUUUCUUCCCCACCAAAGAAAAUAAAUGGUAUACUACUGAGAAAGAGAUACCUUAAAGAGAGGAGCAUCUAUGGAAUGUAAUAUGGGAAAGGGCUUCCCCUGCUUGCAAAGGUGUAGAUACAUAAUGUGCAAACUG